rnacentral:rRNA from 1 species
GAACGCUAUCGGUAUGCUUAACACAUGCAAGUCGAACGGACUAAUUGGGGCUUGCUCCAAUUAGUUAGUGGCAGACGGGUGAGUAACACGUGGGAAUCUGUCCAUCAGUACGGAAUAACUUUUAGAAAUAAAAGCUAAUACCGUAUAUUCUCUACGGAGGAAAGAUUUAUCGCUGAUGGGUGAGCCCGCGUCAGAUUAGGUAGUUGGUGAGGUAAUGGCUCACCAAGCCGACGAUCUGUAGCUGGUCUGAGAGGAUGAUCAGCCACACUGGGACUGAGACACGGCC